CCAUCUCAUGUACUCUGGGCUCCCAGUCCAAAGAGGAAGUUGUCAGUAUACAUGUGAAAGUUCUACUAAACACAGAGAUACUGAAGAGGGACAGCUCAUCGCUGAUCCAAUUCGUGACUAGGGGUAAUGUGAGAGUGGACGGGAGGGCCAUAGAGGUACCGCAGGGGCUAUCAGAAGACACUUCACUGGUGUUCGAGGCGCUCCAUAGCCAGGAGCCAAGAGGAUAUGUUGUUGGUUGGAUCAUUGCCAUCAGC